CAGGACGAACGCUGGCGGCGUGCUUAACACAUGCAAGUGGAGCGACGAACCAGGCUUCGGCCUGGGGCAAAGCCGCGAACGGGUGAGUUACACGUGGGURACCUGCCUCGAUGAUCGGGACAACCCGGGGAAACCCGGGCUAAUACCGGAUGUGCUCUCCCCACACCAGUGGGGAAAGGAAAGGAAGCUUCGGCCUCCGCGUCGAGAUGGGCCCGCGGCCAUUAGCUUGUUGGUGAGGUAACGGCUCACCAAGGCUUCGAUGGGUAGCUGGUCUGAGAGGACGAUCAGCCACACUGGGACUGAGACACGGCCCAGACUCCUACGGGAGGCAGCAGUGGGGAAUCUUGCGCAAUGCGCGAAAGCGUGACGCAGCAACGCCGCGUGGGGGAAGAAGGCUUUCGGGUCGUAAACCCCUUUCAGGAGGGACGAAGCCCGGCCGGUGAAUAGCCGUGUCGGGUGACGGUACCUCCAGAAGAAGCCCCGGCUAACUACGUGCCAGCAGCCGCGGUAAUACGUAGGGGGCAAGCGUUGUCCGGAAUUAUUGGGCGUAAAGAGCGCGUAGGCGGUCCGGUAAGUCCGCUGUGAAAGUCAAGGGCUCAACCCUUGAAUGCCGGCGGAUACUGUCGGGCUAGAGUCCGGAAGAGGCGAGUGGAAUUCCUGGUGUAGCGGUGAAAUGCGCAGAUAUCAGGAGGAACACCAAUGGCGAAGGCAGCUCGCUGGGACGGUACUUACGCUGAGGCGCGAAAGCGUGGGAGCAAGCAGGA
rnacentral:rRNA from 1 species